rnacentral:rRNA from 1 species
UACGUAGGGGGCGAGCGUUGUCCGGAUUUAUUGGGCGUAAAGAGCGUGUAGGCGGCCAGGUAGGUCCGUUGUGAAAACUCGAGGCUCAACCUCGAGACGUCGAUGGAAACCAUCUGGCUAGAGUCCGGAAGAGGAGAGUGGAAUUCCUGGUGUAGCGGUGAAAUGCGCAGAUAUCAGGAGGAACACCGGUGGCGAAGGCGGAUCUCUGGGCCAUUACUGACGCUGAGGAGCGAAAGCGUGGGGAGCAAACAGG